rnacentral:rRNA from 1 species
CAGGCUUAACACAUGCAAGUCGAGGGGCAGCAUGGUCUUAGCUUGCUAAGGCCGAUGGCGACCGGCGCACGGGUGAGUAACACGUAUCCAACCUGCCGUCUACUCUUGGACAGCCUUCUGAAAGGAAGAUUAAUACAAGAUGGCAUCAUGAGUCCACAUGUUCACAUGAUUAAAGGUAUUCCGGUAGACGAUGGGGAUGCGUUCCAUUAGAUAGUAGGCGGGGUAACGGCCCACCUAGUCUUCGAUGGAUAGGGGUUCUGAGAGGAAGGUCCCCCACAUUGGAACUGAGACACGGUCCAAACUCCUACGGGAGGCAGCAGUGAGGAAUAUUGGUCAAUGGGCGAGAGCCUGAACCAGCCAAGUAGCGUGAAGGAUGACUGCCCUAUGGGUUGUAAACUUCUUUUAUAAAGGAAUAAAGUCGGGUAUGCAUACCCGUUUGCAUGUACUUUAUGAAUAAGGAUCGGCUAACUCCGUGCCAGCAGCCGCGGUAAUACGGAGGAUCCGAGCGUUAUCCGGAUUUAUUGGGUUUAAAGGGAGCGUAGAUGGAUGUUUAAGUCAGUUGUGAAAGUUUGCGGCUCAACCGUAAAAUUGCAGUUGAUACUGGAUAUCUUGAGUGCAGUUGAGGCAGGCGGAAUUCGUGGUGUAGCGGUGAAAUGCUUAGAUAUCACGAAGAACUCCGAUUGCGAAGGCAGCCUGCUAAGCUGCAACUGACAUUGAGGCUCGAAAGUGUGGGUAUCAAACAGGAUUAGAUACCCUGGUAGUCCACACGGUAAACGAUGAAUACUCGCUGUUUGCGAUAUACUGCAAGCGGCCAAGCGAAAGCGUUAAGUAUUCCACCUGGGGAGUACGCCGGCAACGGUGAAACUCAAAGGAAUUGACGGGGGCCCGCACAAGCGGAGGAACAUGUGGUUUAAUUCGAUGAUACGCGAGGAACCUUACCCGGGCUUAAAUUGCAGAUGAAUUACGGUGAAAGCCGUAAGCCGCAAGGCAUCUGUGAAGGUGCUGCAUGGUUGUCGUCAGCUCGUGCCGUGAGGUGUCGGCUUAAGUGCCAUAACGAGCGCAACCCUUGUUGUCAGUUACUAACAGGUUCUGCUGAGGACUCUGACAAGACUGCCAUCGUAAGAUGUGAAGAAGGUGGGGAUGACGUCAAAUCAGCACGGCCCUUACGUCCGGGGCUACACACGUGUUACAAUGGGGGGUACAGAGGGCCGCUACCACGCGAGUGGAUGCCAAUCCCAAAAACCUCUCUCAGUUCGGACUGGAGUCUGCAACCCGACUCCACGAAGCUGGAUUCGCUAGUAAUCGCGCAUCAGCCACGGCGCGGUGAAUACGUUCCCGGGCCUUGUACACACCGCCCGUCAAGCCAUGGGAGCCGGGGGUACCUGAAGUGCGUAACCGCGAGGAGCGCCCUAGGGUAAAACUGGUGACUGGGGCUAAGU